rnacentral:rRNA from 1 species
AAGCAGCAGCCGCGGUAAUACAGAGGGUGCGAGCGUUAAUCGGAUUUACUGGGCGUAAAGCGUGCGUAGGCGGCUUCUUAAGUCGGAUGUGAAAUCCCUGAGCUUAACUUAGGAAUUGCAUUCGAUACUGGGAAGCUAGAGUAUGGGAGAGGAUGGUAGAAUUCCAGGUGUAGCGGUGAAAUGCGUAGAGAUCUGGAGGAAUACCGAUGGCGAAGGCAGCCAUCUGGCCUAAUACUGACGCUGAGGUACGAAAGCAUGGGGAGCAAACAGGAUUAGAUACCCCGGUAGUCCCUGUCUCUUAUAC